GGAGGAAUUCCGCGGGUUGUAGUUGAUGAAGGCAAAGCCGCGCGACUGGUCGAUGGCGUGGAACAGCGGGUUCCAGUCGAACAUCGCCAGCAUGAAGGGCGGCAGGGUGUUGGCCACGAACAUCUUGCCCGACGCGAUCAUGUUGGCGCGCUG
rnacentral:ncRNA from 1 species